rnacentral:rRNA from 1 species
CCCUUAGAUGUCCGGGGCUGCACGCGCGCUACACUGAAGGACUCAGCGUGUCUCUCCCCCUAUCCCGAAAGGGAUGGGCAACCCGUUGAACCUCCUUCGUGCUAGGGAUUGGGGUUUGCAAUUAUCCCCCAUGAACGAGGAAUUCCCAGUAAGCGCGAGUCAUCAGCUCGCGUUGAUUACGUCCCUGCCCUUUGUACACACCGCCCGUCGCUACUACCGAUUGGAUGGUUUAGUGAGACCCUCGGAUCGGUCCCGACUCGGGGUGGGCUUCUGCCCCGGUCGUGGUUUCGCCGAGAAGACGGUCAAACUUGACUACCUAGAGGAAGUAAAAGUCGUAACA